UUAACUCUAAUUUGUAUGGAAUUGGAAAGUUUGCCUACGUUUGCCGCUAGGGGCGCUGUUCCAACUGCAUACAAAUUUGAGUUA
rfam:Bombyx mori DNA, contig: Bm_scaf28_contig18270, strain: p50T/Dazao, build 2, whole genome shotgun sequence.